GGGCUGCUAGCUCAAUUGGCUAGAGCGACAGACUCUUAAUCUGUAGGUUCUUGGUUCGAUUCCAAGGCAGCCCACCA
rnacentral:tRNA from 1 species